CCCCCUUCCCAGGCAGGGUCCUUCCCCCCACGUGCGCCAGAGUCCGUGAAGGUGCCUUGUCAGUGUCCAUGGUCUUGACCACAUCCUCAGGCCUCCUGAAAUUGAGCUGUUUAUCCAACUGGCUGCUGGAUCCCUUCUACUGACAGAAUCCGUGGAGUGUCGAGGCCUGGAUCCCUGCUUAGAGCCCUAGAGCCAGGCUUCUAGCCAGUGAGACAUUACCCUAAAUAUUGGGGAUGGCGGUCCCCCUGAACUCCCACGUCCUGGGUCCACAGGAACAAGUCGGACUCCUGAGUUUGAAGGUGAUGGAUGAUACGUCUGGGGACGAGGAAUUCAUCCCUGGAGGAGAGGACCUUGACACAGACUAUGAUGCCUUCUGCGAAGGCCUCACGGACGAUCUUGGAGAUCCACACGAAAGGGCAGAACAGUUUCUGACCAUCAUGCUUGGAAACGUGGAGACCUGGAUGAAGUUACAGCAUCUGGAGCCCAGUGAGGAGGCGUUGAUUCUGGAGGACUCGCCCACCCAGCUGCUUGAGAAGAAAGAUUUUCUGUACCAGGACUUCGCCUUUCACGAGGAGUGGAACCCUGAAGAGGAGGUGGAGGAGAUGGCUGCUGAGUUCCUGGCCUCCAGGUCCCAGGUGAG
rnacentral:lncRNA from 1 species